AUAGUGCUGAUAGUUCCAAGAAGUCUCAAGUGAGAGUCGUAGUAGUAUAAAAUAUGAACCUAUUUCCUCCUCGAAUGAAAUAAAGUUUGAAGUCGUUCCACGUUUACAAAAAAGUUUAUUCAGUUGAUUAUCUCAGGAAUGAGUUCAGAUAUUGACAACUCAAAAAGGAAGUUUGGACAUUUCGAAUGCUCGCAGUGUCAUCAAACUUGGAAGAGUGCCCAUGUCUACUGCUGCUCUAAAGAGAAAGGGGAGUUUCAGGCGCAGGAAUGUCGAAGCUGUAAGACCAUGGUCAAACCUCACAAAGUGGAAGAACUACUUGGAUGUUCGCAGUGUCUUGCAAGAUCCUGCCAUUGUGAUCAAAGGGAAUGUAGCGAUCCCGAUGAGGACGACUAUCCUGAUGAGGACCUAUAUCAUUAUGAGGACCUAUAUCAGGAUGAGGACCAAUAUCACGAUGAGGACAUAUAUCAGCAUGAGGACCAACAUCAGGAUGAGGACCAAUAUCAAGAUGAGGACAUAUAUUAGCAUGAGGACCUAUAUCACGAUGAGGACACAUAUAGCGACGAGGACCUAUAUCACGAUGAUGACAGAUAUGCCGAUGAAGAAGGAUUUCAGUUUGCAGCCGACGACUCAGGACAGGAAGACGCCAAGCCACAUAGAGCGGAUCUCUGUGAAAGAUGUUUGCUCGGGACAAAAUGCUUGAGCUCGGGCGAAGUCGACUGCGUGAGAAUGUUUGGCCACUUUCGAUGCACCCAGUGUGAGAACAAAUGGAGCAGUGCGCAUGUCUAUUGCAGUAAAACAAAUACAGAGGAGUUUCAGGCAAAGUACGGACAGAUGUGUGCGAGUUGUAAGACCAUGAACAAACCUUACAGGGUGGAGAAACUUCAAGAGAAUUCAUGACUAGCAUUAUUAUCUAUUUAGCCUACGUAGUUUUAUUUAAUAAGCCAUUGUAUUUUGGUGUAGCCCAACCAUAGAACCAGCUAUGUAUAAAUACAUAUUUAUAACAUAAAGAUACAUCGACUGAGGCAUUCUAAAUAAAUGUUCUUACUUUUAAAUGCACUUCUUGCUCUAGAGACUAAUAAUUAUUUGGACAAAAAAAAAUAUUUUCUUUAUGGGACCCUUGCCACCAUUGGAUCGCAUAUAAAUAAGUUACAGACACAAAGACUGCUUAACUGUUACGAGCUAUGGUUAUUCUUUAUUUCUAUUUACUUAGAUCUACAGUAGGUGUCAUAAUUUAUUUUUAAAUUUAUUUUUUAAAAAGAUGCAUUUUCGACCGAGUGUGAACCCUUGCACUCUUCUGAUCAAACCUAUGUUUCAAACGUACUUGUUAUAGGCAUACAUGUAACUUAAAUUCAAAGAAGCGUUGGUCCCCUACAUUUUGACAUAAUAUACUUAUCAAGUAUGUUCUUGCAUCCGAACAUUUUUGGUGAAUUUUUUAAAUGCACAAAAUGUGUGUUCUUUUACUUCCCUUUCUAAUUUCAUCAAAAAGUGAGAAAAGCCAAUUUCAUUGCAAUAAAUUUAU